rnacentral:rRNA from 1 species
UAGGGAAUCUUCGGCAAUGGGGGGAACCCUGACCGAGCAACGCCGCGUGAGUGAAGAAGGUUUUCGGAUCGUAAAGCUCUGUUGUAAGAGAAGAACGGUGAUGUGAGUGGAAAGCACAUCAUGUGACGGUAUCUUACCAGAAAGGGACGGCUAACUACGUGCCAGCAGCCGCGGUAAUACGUAGGUCCCGAGCGUUGUCCGGAUUUAUUGGGCGUAAAGCGAGCGCAGGCGGUUGUAUAAGUCAGAAGUAAAAGGCAGUGGCUCAACCAUUGUGUGCUUUUGAAACUGUACAACUUGAGUGCAGAAGGGGAGAGUGGAAUUCCAUGUGUAGCGGUGAAAUGCGUAGAUAUAUGGAGGAACACCGGUGGCGAAAGCGGCUCUCUGGUCUGUAACUGACGCUGAGGCUCGAAAGCGUGGGGAGCGAACAGG